rnacentral:rRNA from 1 species
GACGAACGCUGGCGGCGUGCUUAACACAUGCAAGUCGAACGGAAAGGCUCCAGCUUGCUGGAGUACUCGAGUGGCGAACGGGUGAGUAACACGUGGGUAAUCUGCCCUGCACUCUGGGAUAAGCCUAGGAAACUGGGUCUAAUACUGGAUAUGACCUUUCUCCUUAUGGGGGUUGGUGGAAAGUUUUUCGGUGUAGGAUGAGCCCGCGGCCUAUCAGCUUGUUGGUGGGGUAAUGGCCUACCAAGGCGACGACGGGUAGCCGGCCUGAGAGGGUGAUCGGCCACAUUGGGACUGAGAUACGGCCCAGACUCCUACGGGAGGCAGCAGUGGGGAAUAUUGCACAAUGGGCGGAAGCCUGAUGCAGCGACGCCGCGUGAGGGAUGACGGCCUUCGGGUUGUAAACCUCUUUCAGCAGGGACGAAGCGUAAGUGACGGUACCUGCAGAAGAAGCACCGGCUAACUAUGUG